CUGCUGCCUCCCGUAGGAGUCUGGUCCGUGUCUCAGUACCAGUGUGGGGGGACCUUCCUCUCAGAACCCCUACGCAUCGUCGUCG
rnacentral:rRNA from 1 species